GUUCGUCGUUUGGUACGUUUUUCUCCUGGUAUCCACUGUAGGCCUAUAUGUAUUUCGACCAUAAGGCACGCGGUGAAUGCCAAGAGCGGACGAAACUCUACUAUCAAAAGCAGCAAACGACGCCAAAAGUGUGUUACAAAAUGUGAAAUUUCAUCUAGCAAGUAGCAUUUGGGAGGAAACUACACAAGUAAUCCAAACUACGUACAUAAUAAUGCUUUUCUGCAGAACUUUUGGAUUAGCAAACGGUUUUAUUAUCAAAAGAAACGCAAUUUGGAUAAGGAUUAUUAUUGUUUAACUGCAUCCAACCUAGAUGCUUACAAUGUUGCAUUCCCAAUUUCGGAACUUAGAGUAUUUAGAUGCAUCGAAUAUACAUUUGAUAUUUGAUAAAAAAUUACGUUUCUGGUAUAGUAAAUCUGAGUGUUCAGUGAGGAAUAAAAGCUAACAUUUUUCGUUGAAAAAGAAAAGAUAUUUUUCCAUAAUAACGUUAAAGGGGCAUUGACAUUAACUCAGCUAGUUUGGUCUUGAGGAAGAAAUCAAAGUUAACCAACAACUAUAAAACUUUUCGUUCUUCGAGUAAUAAAGUAUUUAAAAAAAUUAAUAUAAUUUUGUACCUUUGUAUACGAAUUAUCCCACCCCUUUCUGAAAGUCAAUGUGCUCAUGCCUAUAAUGAGAGGUGCCUUUUCUUUCCAUUCAAUUUGAAAUUCUUAUUAAAAUUUCUUGAAUAACUUAGAGGAUGCCCAUGUUAUCUAAAAUAUGCCAAUAAGCUGAGUGCAAAAAGGAGAAGGAGGAUGCAAGAUUAUAAUUUCUUUAGCGGAAAUUAAUUUAACGUCAGCUACAUGCAAAAGCCGUCGCACAAAUAUGCAUUAGACGUGGCUUAGUGCAGCGGCAGAAGCAUCCGGACAGGCGACAAGACAGGAUGAAAAUAUACGACAGGGUGGCAAGGACAGCGCCAGGUGGUGGUGCGCUGUGGCACAUUGCAUUAACCUCAUCUCCUUGUUUCCACCUGCCGCCCAACUCAUAAAGCGCAACAAAUGACGCUGUCAAGUAUCUAAGUUGACAAGAAAAAGGAGCAAAAAAGUUGGUAAGUAGGAAAUUUGCUAUUUUUUACACGGAGUGCUUCUUAGUUAAAGGAAAAAAGGCCCGGAAGAAAGGAAACCUAAUAGAAAAAAUCUCUGAGCAGGCAAAAGCAUGUAAUAAUGCAACGAAAACAUGAGAGGAAAAAUACUUUGGGUAGUCGAAGGCUGAGAGUCCCUAGAAGGUGUACAUACAUAUGUAUGUAUUCAUAGUAUAAAUGUAUAUCGAUGGGAGUUAACCGUUGCAUAGUCAUUCAUAUAGUCUUUCCACUAUACAUCUUUCCAAGUUAUUAAUAAAUUGUCUUGUGUUGUCUUGUUUAGACACCAGCUUUUCAAAACAAAGAUUUGUUUUUACCGAUUAUUUCUAUGGUUGCAUAUACAUGGCAUAUAUGUAUGUAUGUAUGUACAAAUACCCGAUUUAUGCAAGUACUGCAAGCUCGAAGGUUAUCUUGUGUAAUUUGCGGAAAAAGUGUUGCUCUUACAAUGAAUCGGUUAUGGAAUAAUAUUUGAUAUUGCAAUAUGCAGCACGAUAAUUUUGAUCUUGUUUAUUUAUUUUUUUUUUAUAAAAUUAAGACUGAGAUCUUUGAACGGAACUUUGGUUUGGUUUUCUUCAAUUUUUACUUAUACAUAUUCAGUUCAUGUCAAUACUUUGUGAUUCAACCAUACUGUGCUCCGUUCCAAGUAACUGCUAAUAUCCCUAAGCUCUUUUCCAAGGGUAUCAAGAGUGAACUGAUUAUAAAUAUGUAAAAAUAACAUGAGCGUGCUUUCCAAAGUGCUGGGAUUUAGUUGCAAUGCCCCACAGUGGCUAAGUAAGGGGGUGGGAGCUGCUGUUAGUACUUUACUUACUCAUACGACAGCCACACCCACCCACUAAUGCAUACAACACACACACACAUACACGCAGAUAUAUGUGCAAUUUGUUCUUUUCUAUUUUUGCGCUUUUCUACGCGUUUCUCAGCUCCUCAUAUCCCAAUAUGUGAGCAUGUUUCUGCAUGCACCGCCUAAGGGCCUGCGGGGCUUUCUACUCCAGUUGUUGUUUUUCCCAUUUUUUUUGGCCUCAACGCUUUGGCAUGCAAAUUUCGCCUGCAUGAAAAUGAAGGCAUACCCUAGCAAUCCUCCAUUCUCCAUCUCCCAGUACCCAAUCCUGGGGUUUCGUCGCUUCGCUGAGCACCCGCCCGUGUGCGUUCCAUUUCGCAUAUGUAAGGUAUGUAUGCAUAAAAUGUUGAAGCAUUUGGGGCUUGUGCUCUGUUUUCGUCCUGUUUGUUUGCCUCUAGGCGCUCAGAUCCGUUCAGCUUCGUUCGGUUUUCCUUGGUCCUUUGUGUAUACCCCAAUGCAUAUCCCAACUCGACUUUUAGCUUAUGUUUUCCCUUGGAGGAUGUUUGCUUUUUUUGGGAUGCAAAAAACUUAAUAACUGUUCAAUGCAGAUUACUCACGAGAUUAUUUACUUGGGGUUGGAGCGAACCUCCCUCCAAUCGAGUGAAUUUGUUGGUUUUUGGUGUAAAUAUAGAGGAACUCAAUGAGGUUUCAGACUUUCAAAUAAGGUAACCCAUAAAAGCCAUUCCAUAAGGCGUGUGCGCCUUUCAUAGAGUGAAAUUGUUGAUGCUUGUACCCCGAAGUACAUAGUAAGCUUGAUUAAAUUUAAAUUGGAGUAAAGCAACUCAUAACGUCUUAGACUCUACACCAGCUGGGGCAUCUGAAAUCUUUACAGGGGUUCUAUGAAACAUUUUUAGAGUGAAUUUAAUUAAGAUUUAAUUCUGAGGAGGGAGUAACUUUCAAUUAGUCUUAAAAGCGCAAGUAGCGCUUAAAUAUUUGAAAUGGCUUGUUGUGCUGUUAAAUCGAAGAAGUGAGUAGAGAAAGAACUUUCAUACGAAGAUAAGAUAUUACAUAAUAAUUAUUUGAAUUAAUUAAACGUUUAAAAUGAUUGCUUAAAACAAAUAUAAAUAAGUAAAAGUAUAAAUUACUUGGAAUAUUUAAUAAAGUUUUAUAAAUGCUUUAUCUCUCCUACAUACCUUGGACAAAAUUUAUUUGUCUAAAAUUGAAUAUUAUUAAUGAAUAAUAUCUGCAUACUAUUAAAUUAUAACCAAUCACCGUAUGAACAAUUUCUGGGCAAUCUCUUAGCCGAUGACCUGUUCCCUGACAGCAUGUUCAAGUUCCUGCCACGGAUCAUUUUGGAAUGAAACUCUGAAGGGAUAGGCUUGGGUUAGGCUGUGGGGCUCCUUAGCCACAUCGUGUGCGCAGUUAUGCAUGCACUCACCCCCCCUGGGCGACUCUUUCAAAGCGUUGCAUGCCUCCAGCAGGCAACCGCAUUUUGAUUGGCAUUUGCAUAAGCAGUUCAAUGCAUUUCAAUCAGGAUGGGGCUUGGGUUAGGAGUGUGCCUUCUCAUCUUCAUCUGCGGGAGUACUUCAACCGCCAAUGGCAUCCUGUAGCAUAUGUGCAUCUGUGUUUGCAGAGUCCUAGCUGGAGGACUCCCCAGCCCCACACACACAUCAAACCUUACAUACACGUUGUUAUUGCCGCUUAUAAUGGUGCUGGACUCUGUCGAGACCAUUUGAUUUUGCUCGUGUAUGAAAAUGUUCGCUUCUGCACUCAUAAGAGCGGAAAUUGAAAAUAUAUAAAUUUUACACAAACACAGAGACACAAACACAUACGCAUUCAAAAGGAUAUUGCAUUUUCUGGCUGCAUACGGAAAAGUAUCCUUUUUCCAUUUGCCAAUAAUUAAGAUGACUCACAAGUGUGUAAAAGCACAAAGGAUAUACAUAUGUACGAGUGUGAGCGAGGAUUUUCUUUUGAAUUGCAAAAUAAUGAAGAGUUCGGCUGUAAAUUCUCAGUUUAUUCGGACGAACGUGCACCAAAUGGAAAUUGCAUUUAUUUUCGACUUGGAUUGCUGUCUGCAUGGGAGGCCAUAGUUCGUUUUAAAGACUAUUCAUUUUCCUCACGAAAUAAAUCAAAUAUUUGUGCAAGAGAAAAUUACAAUUUUCCGCCUGAGAAGAAUAUGUAAAUUGAAAUUGAGAUUUCUAGCUUGCAAAAUGCACAUAAUAUUCAGCUACUUGCCUAAUCAAUCGAGCAGAAGAUUGUUGAGGAUAGGUUGAAUAUGAGGAGAGUCCAAUGUAAUCGGUUGAAAGCUGACUAAAAUCUCCAGGCUUUAUAAAUAUCAUAAAAAUAUGUAUAUCCUUGCGUCAUGCUCAAAACAAUAAACCGGCAAAGCCCCUAACCGAAAAAGAAAAGAAAAGCCAAGUCUAAGCUACGAAAAUCAUAAAAAUGUAGUCCAGAGACCAUUAAAAGUAGAAGAAUAAAAAGGGAAUUGCAAGCUAAGCUAAAAAGGCUUACACCAUUGUUCAGCUGCCUAGACAUGGACAUGCUCUGGAUUCGGUUUCGGAUUCUGCUGCUUAUGCGAGCACCGAAAUGUAUCCCGUGGCCCGUUUCUCAUGUAUCCCAGUCUAAUAACAUGAAACGGAGAAUUUCGCACAGCUUUCAGCCAACGUUUCCCAUUACGCUACAAUAAAUCUGGGGGCAUGCAAUGAAAUGUAACACGAGAUAUUGAAUUCAAUGUUGGAUAGAGACCCAGACCAAGACCAGCACCAGGACACAGUCAAGGGUGCUGUGAGGCCAAAGAGCUGCUUCCACUGCUGCUGCUGCUUCUGUUCUGUGGAGAUAAAGAAAAGUGCCAGCAAAUGCGGAAGAAUAAUGCGACAGCACGAACAACAGACAAGCCAGGCAGCUGUACGGGGGUGGUGGCUCAGAUAGAGUGUGGGCUCUCGAUGGGUGGUGGUUACAAUGGCGGAAAAUAUAGGCUGACUAGCACACACACACCCACAUCCAGCCAUAAGAGCGGGUGCCACAUCUGUACAUAUACAUAUAAGUAGAGGCAAUGCAACGCCUGCACCCGCAACAUGGAAUGGCAACAAUUGCACUGCAGCAUCUAAUAUUUUAUGCGUAAGUGCAAUUCAGACUUCCUCCACUAAGACCCCGUCCAUAAGCGGGUGUAUAUGGAGCACUCGAGAAUACUCUAACACGGAUUUGGCAUACUUACCCAUUGGAUUCAAUAAGAGCUCUAAUAUAAUUUAAGUAUGUUUUAGGUUAUCUGUCGAAUUUGCAAUCCACUUAAGUCUUGUUUGACACAAUAAAUGGGAACGUGGAUAUGCUCUAAUUGGAAGUCUCUUGUUUUAGUUUCGUUGAAUUUAUUAAAACUUAUCUUUGCAAAGUUCUGCAACUGUAUUUAAAGCUCGCUUUUGAGGCACUCCUUUUCUCUCCUAACAUGAUUGUUCAAGUUUUCAAUAAAUGGAUUAUUUGAAAAAUAAUAAAAGUAGCCAGAAGCAAGGGCAGCCAUGACAUGGACACUGUCUCAAAAUGCCACAAGAUGUGGACGUCCCAAUAGAAGAUUCUGUCUCUAGAAAUACAAAAAAUUGACUUUAAACGGGAAUGUGUGUGUGUGUGUGACUGUUUUGGCUGAUUUAUAGAAGGUGACAGAUGUGGGCACCGAGUGAUAACAAGCUUUUCCCUCCAUGUGGACAAAAAUUCUAUAAAAUUUCCAGUAGACAAAGGCAGCCACUGGAAAAAUGCCUUUAGUUUGGUGUUGGAAAUUUUCCUUUUUACCACUCUCGGUAAAAGGACAGACAGCGGUUCAGAGGAGACUGGCAAAAAGAAUUGGCCCCGGCUGUCGGUUCUCGGUUCUCUGUUCUCCGGUUCCCUUCUAUCGUAACAGCUGCAACUGACGGGCAUGAAAAGUGGUUUUUCGGAGCGCGCAAAUACUAGAAAAUGUUGGCCCUGCCUCUGCCUGGGCCCGGACUAUGCGAAGAAAAAAUGAAUGUCGCAUGAAAGAAGGGUAAACGAUGCUAGAGAGAGAGAAGAAAUAUUUUCGCAUUUUUGCUAUAAAUUAAAGCGACGACGUCGACAUCGUCUUUCGCUUGUGACCGCCAUGGUCUCUGUCCCAAAGUUCAUAGUAAAAUUUAUUAUUAUUUUAUUAUCAGCGGAAGUCUGCUGGCUAAAAUGGAAAAGAGAGCUUUCUAUGUAACUAAAAAUAAGCAGAAAUAAUGAUUUUUCUUCUCAAAGAAUAGAUUUUAUUUUGUGGUUGAAGAUAGCUUGAGGUUGAGGAUAGCUAUUUAGAAACGCUUUUAACUCUCUAAUGCAGUGACUCGAAUUUGGGUAUAUUACUUGUGUAAAAAUAGUAGUGUUAUUCCAUGAUAAGUUUCUCAUGGAAUUUUCAGAAUAAAUUUAAACAAUAUUAAUUCACUCUUAGUUCUUUAUUUUUAUUUUACAUCCACUCCAUCAUCAGUUAAGUAGAUAGCUCAUUAUUUUCGCAUUAUUUUUCAAUGAUGUUCAACAACUUUAUAGUAAUUUGAUGAGAUCAAUCAUUUGAACGAGCUUAAUUCAAUUUGCAUAAGCAAAAAUAUACUCCUCAUCGAUCCACUUUAACGCUUAUUUUAUAUGGAAAACUAAUUGAGUUAAAGCACAAUUGUUUCGAAAUGCUGGACUCUCGAGAAAGCUCUUAUAUGUACAUAUCUCGAAUAUGCAAUUCCAAUCAAUUUGCUAGAGUAGAAGGACAGGAAAUUUCAUUGAACAACUUUUCCAACAGAAACUGGAAAAACAAGAACAAUAAAUUGGCCAAAUAUUGGAACAAUUGUGUGGGGGGAGGGGGCUCUGGACGUUUGGUAAGGGGCCAACUAACAAUUGCAUUUAUUAAAAAUGGCCAACUAACAGCAGUAACAACUACAAUAACUACAACAAAAGAUGUACAUUUUUUUCCAAAGUUCUGUUAUUUGAACAAUUCAACAAUUUCCAUUUUGUUAAUUGCCUUUCAGUGACACGCCAAACACGGUAAAAAAUCAUUUAAUUGAAUGAAAGGGCUGAUAAAACACUACAAAAACUGGAGUUAAAGAGCCAUGAGCAAAACGUUUAUUUUACAUUUAAAAAAAAAAGCGCAAAAUAUAAGGGGAAAGAACACUGAAAGUGCUGCAAUUAAAUUCUGUCGAGCUUAAUGAGUACGGGACACCACUCCUGGGGUCUGGGAGCACUGUGUGAGCCGUGUCCCAUGCCACAUCAAAGCAAAUGAAAAGCCGAAACGAAAUGUUUGCGAAAAAUUGGCAACGUUGCAUUUCCAUUUCCAUUUCGGGAAACGUAUACGUACGUAUCCUUAGGGGUAGCCAUGUUGAUUUCAUUUCAUUUAGUCGACUCGCUGAUAUUGUGGUUGUCGUUGUGCUUCUGACUGCCUAUUCGCUUGUACUAUGGGAAAUGUGUAUAUGGAUUGUGUUGCUUCCACAGCAGCGUGAAAACGUUACGCGGCAUGGACGCAACAAUGGCCGACGCCAUCCUCGUCCGUCGCGAUUGCACGGCCAUUGUGUUGGUGUCGCGCAAUGGCGUCUGGGCCGGCCAUUAGUAUCCCAGAAACAAACAAAAAAAAUCAACAAGAACAGGACAAAAACAGAAAAAGCGAUGUCUGUAUUUAUAGAUAUAUAUCGAAAUACUUAUAAAAUAUUUAUAGCUGAUUGGAAAUCAAUCUGAUGGGACACUUUUUAUCUUAUUUUUGAGUCAUCAGUCAUAGUCUCUAAUCGGCGUAUACUCUACGAUACUUUUUAAGUAUUUUCGAAGUGAGUAUUAUGAUUUUCCGGAGAUCUUUGCAACGUUCACAUAAAAUUCCCCUCGACCGUGUUUUGCUUCAGAAAGGAUUUAGUUCAAAUCUGCCAACAAUCUGCUAAAAAUAAUCCUAGAAUAUCUUCCAAAGAAAUGCUGAAUCUGCCAGGGUAUCUGUCGUUACUGCAUCCAAAUCUAUUCUUUCCGUUUUUAUGGUUAACAGCUCCCUUUUGACAGAGGCAUCAUUAUCUUGGCUCUAAUAAAUCGCUCGACAUCAGCAGGCCGCAAACGUAUUUCCGUGGGGAUGGCCCCGGAUCUGACCAGCAGUUAGAUAGAUAGCCCUGGACUGUAGUCAUGCAGGAGAAGGCAAAACUGGUGGGUAGAUGGACCGAUAAAGGACCAAAGUUGACCAAGUUGCUGGACGCGAAAGCGAAACAGGACAAGGGGCAAACAUCAAAUAUGGCGACAGACCCCAAAAAACACUGAGGACUCUUCCAGAACGCAUUCAAAUGCCCAAAAAUGACUAGAAGCACUCCAAGAGAGAGAGAGGGAGGCACUGAGUGCUGUGUCCCCUCAACCAGCCCGUGGUCCCCAUGGUCCCCGAUCCACUCUUCUCCGGCUUUUCCCCUAGUGGUAGUGAAAAACCGGCAAAAAGCAACAACCGGUAAAAUCGAAUGUUCACUUUUCACACAAACACACCCACACAUAUACAUAUGUAUAUGUAUGUAUGUAUGUAUGAAUGUAGCCUAUCCCUUCGGCCUCUCUGGUGGCUCCAUCCGCACAAGGGUCCAGCACAUAUAUAUAUUCACAGAGAUAUGUAUGCAUGACUGUGGGGCCUGAAAUUUUGCACACAUUUACAAUUAUUGCAAAUGUGUUGAAAAUCGUUUGCACAACUGUGAGCAAAACACGUCGGAGUAGAAAUCACUCUCUCCCUGUGUUGGUGUACAAAAAGAUGUCUGUGUGUGGGUUGUUAUGUAUGUGUGGGUGUACUUGCUCAUUUGUUAAGGGGAAAUGGCCUUUGUCUGUCUCUCCAGCUGCUGCGGGUGUGGGUGCAUGAGUGUGAGUGUGUGUUGUCCUGGCCGUGAGAGCAGCCAUGUUUUUUCCAUCAGGCAAAAUGGCGCCUGCGCACUGGCAUACACGGUGAAAAAUUGUGGGAUCUUGGUGGGGCUAUUGAAGGUUCUAUUUGAACGCUUUUUGGGAGUAGGAAUUGUAUAGAAAAAGUAGAUAUUUCCGGCAUUAAUAUAAUUAAGAAGGUUCUUUAGAUUAGCUUAAUAGACAUGUAUAAUGUUAAUUGAUAAAACCUAACAGCUCUUCAGAUAUUGAGGAAUAUCUAAGACGAUUGAAUACAGAGAAGCAGAAUUAGUUUGUCGUUCAUGUAUCUAUAUUUUGUUCUUUCCUGACACUAGGUCCCGAGAUACUGAUAGCAUCUUGAACCAAUCAAAAGUUUAAAUCUUCUUUGACACACCAGCUCCACCAAUAUCUCAAACAAGUCCCCAAACUAGCAGAAAACGUUGCUUUUUCUCGAGUUUAAGCAACUUUGAUAAGCAAGACAAACAAAGCUGCAGCAGCAGUAGCAUCAGUAGCAAACCACUCGAGAUUUAGCUUGAGAGCAGGACUCAGAGCUGUACAGUGGAGUGCGCCAUCCACAGGCCAGGCCAGGCCAGGGCAAGCCAGGCCACCUGGCAACGGCAGCGGCAGUAGCAGCUCUGCGGCGAGCUGUACAUGGCAACGCCUUUUAUAGCCCAGGCCCCCACACUUGUAGGGCUGCGCAAAACAUGGCGUAUGAGCAACACUCAUCCACACAGACACACAGAUACACAAACACACACACACAGACACAGAGACCGGAUGGAGCUACUGGAUGCUCUCCCAGUUAUUGCUAUGGCAACCUUGACUACCUGGUGCUCAUGCCCCGCCAGCUUAACCUCAUCAGUCGCUGCUCCAGCAUGGUCGCAUCUGCAGUAUAUGCCACAUCCACCUACGAGUCCUUGAGUCCUUUUUUGGACUCUUGUCUCUCUGCCAGAGUGCUGCUGAUGCUGCUGAUGUUGCUGCCGCUGCGGCCAUUUGCUUUUUACGUUUUCGUGAGCAGACUUUGGGUUUUAAUGGAUCGAUGAGUCCUCUUUCUCCGGGUCGACGUCGGGGUCCAGGUCCUGGCAUUGCUGCGUUGCGGUGUGUCAAUGGUUUUUUUGCCUGCCACUUUUUUGGGCAGCCUUAGCUGGGAAAACUUUUCUUUGCUGUGGGUGCGAUGGUUUUGCAUGUAAAGUAUAAAUAGGAGGUACAUGCACUUAUACUCGUAGAUAUGUACAUACAUAUGUAGGCAGGAGUAUCUCAUAUACAUGUAUGGGAUGCUACAUAUACCCUUAAGGCCAAAAGUAGAGUUGACAGGCAUUUGCUUAUUAGAUUUUGGUGUUUUCAAGCUGCCAAGAUGCGGUCAGGUAGCAGUUUUGUAGGUUAGCUGGUUACCCAGCUGCACAACCCCACAAUCAACUUUAAAUUGAAACUUAUCCGUGAUUUAAGACUUAAGGUUUCAACUGCUUAUUUGCCCUGUGCAAUUUGCACUUGAAUGCAACUGCAAAUAGAAUCUAUUUUACAAUUGAGAUUCAUUUAUUUGUCCAUUGCUUAAGCAGGGCAAACAUGCAACUGAAUAAAUAAACGUGGCAUGGAAUACAAAAGAUAUGUAUUCACUCUCCAUCUUCUCCAUGACAUGUGGCAUCUCCCUACUAUACGCUAUUCGCUACUUAGCUCUAUGCCCUGUCUCUAUUUGUGUUCUAUGCUCUGGACAGGCAGAACCACUCGAGGAUACUCGUACACCCACUCUCACAGCUGUGUAAGUUUUCCUAUUUAUUGCAAAAAUAUUUAUUCAGUAAGUUUCUGUUCAUAUUUGUUGGCUGCUGCCCCGUCUGCUGUUUGAACUGCUGCAAAAGUAUUUUUAAUAUGCGCAAAUAAAUAUUGCAUUAUGGACAGAAAGGCAGGAGUGCAGAGGACCCAACCAGAUCGAUGACAACAGCGGCAAAUAAGCAGAAAAGAGAAUCUGCAAGGGCCACAAGAACAUCAGCAACAAAACAGGAGACUAAAGCAACCAAAGAGUUGUAGAGACAAUGAUAUUCCUCGUGGCCAGUACUAUCAGAGGUUCAUGAGUAGAUAUAGAUCAUGGAAGUUAGCCAUGUAUUUGUCUUAUUUAUCUUCCAGUCUUCAGCUGAAUUCCUCUGCAUUUUUAUCGGCUAUAGCAAACAUUCCCACAAAUGAAAUAUACCUUUUUAUACAGCGAUUACCGGGUAUUAUAAGCAGCAAAGCAAAGCGGAAAAACAGCAGCAAUAGCAGCUGUCGUUUGAAAAAUACUAAGAAUAUUACAUUUUUCCAGCUUUGAGGAUUUAUUUUUCUUGGAAAAGAGAAUAGGUUUAGUGGAGUACGAGUACUUGAAAGAAAUUAUUUUUUAAGUCUUCUAGGCAGCUUAUCUUUGUGCCACACUAAACCAAUUAGAAAAUGUUUUAACUUUAAGGCCAGGCCUUGGCAUGCACAACAUUUCUGCCCGAGCAAUUGACGGGAACAUUUUCAAUUUGUAUAACGAGUUUCUGGGCAAAAGUUUCGCACACAAGCCUACAGAGCAGCCCACAUAUUGCAGAGUUGCCAUCACAAGCAGCCAUCAAAUGCAUAAAGGCUUAGUGGGAACUUCUGGGAGAGGCAGAGAACACACAGGCAACCGGCAACCACCCACUUCCACUAAUGGAAAACAAUUUUCGAACGUUCCGAAUUUUGUGCGCUAAUGAAGUGCGACACAAGCGACGGCACAGGCAACAAAGAAGGUCCUUAGUCAUUCAUGUGGCUAUUAAAAAACUUUUUAAAACAAUUAUUCAUUCGACAUGGAUGCAAUUUCUUUUGGUAUUUCGGAUUGUGGACACUGAAUUCAUAUAAAGUGUAUCUCAAUGAGGCUUUAUACUCUGACUGAAUAUAAAUUGGCUUAAUUCGCAGAAAAUGGCAAAACUGAAUCACAAUAACAGCAGCAUCAGCAGCAGCGGGAAGUACACCAUCUGCAUCAUCAGAAGACAUCACUAACAUCAUUAUUAUCAUACUCCCACCCACCAUCAUCAUCAUCAUCAUCAUCAUCAUCAUCAUCGUCCUCAUCUGCAACAUGCCCGUUGACAACAGCAGAAUGGAAAAUAUGUGGGGUAUACCGAGAAAAACUUUUGCAAAUGAAUAAUCCACAAUUGUGUGCCGGAGCACAAAUUGCAAUUGUUGCUUGCAGCCAGUCAAGAAACGAAUCUGUAUACGAGUUGGAGGAAAAAUGUUUUGAUUGCUCAAGUCGCAGGAGCAUUUACCCUAACUCGAGGGAAAGAAAUAGUUGGGAAAUUACUGAAUCUAGGUAUGGGUGGAGCAGAAAUUGUAAAUGGGAAAUAUUAAAUAAUACAAAAAUGUAUCUUUAAAUUGUUCUUCAAGUACGAACCGCUUUAAAUGAAAUACCAUACCCGUUUGCGGCUGCUGCCUAUAGAAAAAGCAUUGUUUUCGUAUUUGCAACUGGCAUGCUCAAGUGGAAAAAAGCAUUGCGUAUACGCCCGAGUGCACUUGGCAAUAAUAAUUUGAGCCAGCUAGGCAGGCAGGCAUUCCUAACAGACAGCCAGAAAGGCACAGAAACAGUCAGUCAGGCAGUGGGACUGACAGACGGAAGGACUGACUGACAGUCGGGCAGGCAGGUGAAAAGCAGCGGGAGAUGGGAGACAUUUCAUCAGCUUGGUCCCAACAAUGACAUAAAUCACCAAUGGCUAAGCAAGUCAUGCCACACACGGGAACAAACAGCCAACACACGCACAAGGGCACACAUACUCGAAGAAGGUAAUGCGGUGCCUGGCAACUGGCAAUAUGAGAGAUAUAUGUACCAUUCUCGUGUGUGGCAGCUGGAUGGAUGGAUGGAUGGUUGGAUGGGUGUAAGGGUGGGUGGAAAGCCCUCUUGCCUGAGUGACUGCUGCUAAGCUAGAGGCUUUUCAACGUUUAUUGCCAAGUCGAAGGUGUGGUCUCGUCUUUGGCUUUGUAGUGUGCUGCCCACGCAUCAGGACAGACAGCACUCACAUCUCCAUCAAUCAAUAAAUAAAUGCGAGUAUAGACAUGCAAAUCUCCGGUGCUCCGGUACAGUUGCUGCUGUAUUGCGAGCUACGGGUAGUAGUAUUAGGCUUAAGCCUUUCACCAGUCUGGCCUCCCUACACGAGCACGCUCGUGUGUACCCCACUCACCCGCUGUCCAUCGGUCCAUUGUUAAUGCAUUUCAUUUAAAUUAGUUGCCUUGGAGCGCCCUUCGUGUAUAUCAACCUCUACCUCUAUCUCUGCAGCUGCAGUUUGUCUUUGGGCCCAUUGUGUAUGGGGAUCAUUUGUAAAUGAAGUUUGUUAUCUCCCGUUGGCCCGUUGUGCAUGCAGCAGGAUUUGUCCUAAAAAUAGUCAUUUGAAUAGCUCUGCAGGGAGUGUGGGUUGUGUGUGUGUGUUAGACUUGAUUGAUUCUGUUUGGGCUACGGGUUUCAAUUGGAUUAAGUCGAAUUUUAAUAAGCAAAAACAGUCCAUGAUGAAAGAUAUGUAAUACUCUUGUAUAUGUCCAUCGUUUUACGUAUUGCGUUGAGCCUAUGGUAGAAAUAUCGUAUCUGGAAGGAGUGUGCAAACCUUCUAAGUCGCUUAUUCAUCAUUCGAAAAAUCAUUUAUAAGUUCUUGGAAAUAAUUUACUUCCUAAGUUUUCAAGUGCCGUUAAUUAUUUAGAGUGAAGCAAAACGAUUAUGUACAUAAAGCCUUCAAUUAGGGAAAACUUUUUCAAUUUAAAAUCAAUAAAUAGUGGGAGAAGUUUCCCGCCGCAGUAGUUCUCCCACUCCCAAAACAUUUGCUGUCGGAAAAUCAUAAAAUCAAAUGCGACCCACCGUUUGGUGCCAAACUUUUGGCGAAAGUAAAAUACAAUUUUGAAAUUUGAUUACACUUUCCAUUCUGUCAAUUUUGUGCGGACUGCAGACUGCAGACAUCGAACUGCGCCAGCAGGCAUGGUGCGGCAUGGAAACGAGGACUCCCUGAAUAUCAUAUCGUAAAAUGGAAAUGAAAUUAAAUGCUGAACAUUAUUUAUGACGCUGCGCAUAUCAAAUGGCGACGGCCUCACCACCACCCCAUACUCCAGCUGCACCCCUUUACUAUUGGAAAAGCACCCUUCUCGAUCCGCGGCGGCGGCGGCGGCUCCUGUACAUACAUUCCAUAUACCUUGGACCCGUGGACCGUGCUACGUGCAGGGAUUUGAGUGGAAUUUAUUUUGUUUCCCAUUUACAUUGCGCCGGCACUUCGUUCCUUUCAUUUUUUUCACUAUUAUUUGUAUCUAAUUUGCAUAUCGCUGUCGACAUCCGCGGCGCGCAUCCUGAUCCUGACAUGCGCCGCUCCGUUAUCGUCAGGACGCCGCUUCUUCCCCUCGCUCGUUUUUCACUUUGUGCGCCCCUGGUCCUGACAACCGCUGGCAAAUUUGUUACCUCCGCUUGGCUUUUCUUCGCGCAAUGGAGGACGGACCUUGUGCAUCUGCAUCACUGCAUCGCGUCCUUCGCUGUUGCUACAGAGAUCGGCUCCAGCUUCAGUUCCAACUCCUUCUUCAUUUAAAGUUUAUUCGGCAACUUCAAGUGAAAAGUUAAGUCAACUUUUGGUUCUGCCACUUUGUCCCCUCCUGGCCCUUUUGUCCGCUUUCUUCGUCCAAAUUGCACAAGAACACAAAAUGCCAUUUCCGUUUCCGGCAACUUUUGCCCCAGGAACAAAGCGAAUGGGGAAACAAAAAUUUCCACGAUUUACAAAUAUAACCCGAAUGAUGAAUUCUCUGACAUUUCCAAAUAGUUAGUUUUUAUGGGAACAGGUGUGCUUCCAAUUACCCUUUAGCUAACGAGCAUUUGGUAUAUUUUUCAGUCUCGUUCUCAUUCUCAAUACGUUACAGACCAAAUGAAAUAGUGGGCAUACCCCUAGUUCUAAGGGAUUCUCCCUCUGAACUUAUAUUCAAACGAAGUUGCUUCCUCUCUCGCUGCAUGCAUAAAUUCGUCUCGAAUAAUAUUUGUGCUUGUUGUGGAGCUCAUUAGUAGCUUCUGGCAGCAACAGACAACAGAACUGGCGGGCACAGACACACACAGUUGCCGGGAGAAAGGAUAGAGCAAGGGAGAGCUACAAAGCAGCCGGAAACUGUGGGCGAGUUUGCCACACCCUUGGCAGAGUUCUUGGUACUUUCCACACACGUGCCAGUACAAGUCUUGACUGUAUUUUAAGCGCUCUCUUAGCCAAGUCCCUCCACACCUGUUGGGUGCCGGGUGUGGGCUCCGCUGCUGAGAUCCAGCUUAACUUAUGACUGCCGAAAAAGUUGCCACGCUACAUAAAUUAAAUUACAAGUUGCUCGGGAGUACGUGAGUGUCUGUUUCGAAGUUUGAGGAGACGUCGCUUCCUUUUUUUCUCUUUCUUUCUUUUCUUUGGAGCGGCUGUAGCUGCCACUUGCGGUUGACAUUCAUUUGUAGAAAUUUAUGUUAAUUAGAAUUGAAUUUCGACGCAUGCAAAGUUGGCUCUCCGUCUUGCAAAAUGCUGCCCGGCAUCUUUGUUCGUUCCUCAUUUGAUUCAAUUUAUUUGACGCUGUCAAAGAACGACAGUGAAGACCCGGACUUGAAGGCAAAGGAGGGAAAACAGAGCACAGAGGAAAGCUGGCAGAAAGCUGAGGAGGUGUCCUCUCGCCAAACUUAUUUUUCUUCAAUUUUCCCUCACCGAAGAUGGCAUCACAUCGUCUUCUCUUUCCCUUCCUUCACUUCUCACACUCUCUCUCCCUCCUCUGUCUCUCUGACUGAAUCUCUGGCUGUCAGAAAGUUUUCCCCGGGUUUUGUGUUUUGCGGUUGUGUCAUAAUGAUUUGUGGAAUUUCUUUAUUGCUUGCAGAUUUUGCAUAGUACCGGUAUUUGGCUUGCUAGAUUUAUCAGUGACAUGUAUUACCAAAAGUCUUGUUAUUAUGAUUUUUUCGGGCAGCUUCAGAAAACUUAUUCCUGCUUUUGUCAUUUAUGUCACAGGAAUUUCAUUUGGUUUUGUGGUUAAGCAACAAUUUUUUUGUGGAUAAGUGUAAAUUGGAUUUGAAGUGUUACCAGACUUUAAUCCGAGUCAGAAGUAGGACAGGAUGUUUUGUUUAAGGAAACAUUCAUAAAAUGCUUCAUUUGUAUCUAACUGAAUUGAAUUAGCAAAUGUACAACAAAAUUCCACUCCUGCAGCUUCCUGUUUUAAUUUGCUGCAUAUUCUAAAAAGUAAAUGCCUUUCAUCAACUUACAAUGAAAAUGCAACAUUUUCCCCUCCUUUUUCCCUAUAUUUUUCAUCAUUCUUUCUUUCGUUUCAUUAUUCUCUUUUCUUUUCGAUUUUUUUGCUAAAGCAUAAUCAGUGGGGAUGGUACAAACAAACUGAGUGAACCGAGAAAAGCACACAGAAAGCGGGGAAUAUACAUAAAUACGAGUAGGAUAGAAUGGGAGAAGCCCCGAGAAGAACGCAACUUCGCUUGUGCGCAUAAUUUUCCAGAACGCUCCUGGUUCCACUCCACUCUGCUCCAAUGCUGGACCUGCAGGAAAUGGCAGCUAUUAGCAUUUGACUGCUUCACUGAUGAUGUUAACGAUGGCAGCCAGCGACCAAACCCAUCCAACCAGCCAACCGAACGUCCGACCGACCGUUCCCAGGCUCUGGGCCUCGUAGAAGGAUGAGGAAAAAAAAAAAGGUUAUAUGCACAUAAAGUUUUAAGUCCCAGGGAGCAGAAGCAGCAGAAGCAGCAGCGGCAGGAUGGAGGAGCAGGACAAAGUCGUCGCCGGUUGCCGGUCGGUAGUCGGCAGUCGGCAGUCAGCAUUUAUUAUUGCACAUUUUAUGCGCCCGACUGCACAAUAAAAUAAAUGAGAAUCAUCCAAAAUGCAAAAAUGGAACCCCCAGAAAAUUGCGCAUAAAUGCCAAAAUUAUUUUGAUGUCUUCUCCUAUUCCCGUUCCACAAAAAGAAGACGAACAAAUGUUGAUGCUUGCAUGCCUCAUGUGGCCAAAUAAUUGCUGACGUGACACAUUUUACUUGCCCAAGAUCAAUGCCCAGGGAAGAAAUGAAAAUGGACGGGAAAUGAGUCUGGGGGAAGGAAUCGUGUGGCACGUAAGCGGAUACAAUCAAAAUUCCAUUUAGAGAAAACGCUGAGAAACGCACAAUCAGUCAUUAACAGCUAAGAAAAAAAAAAAUAAAACUAAACAAAAUUUGAGGCGGCGUCUCUGCCGUCAGAAGCACACACACGUCCAUUCAGUUCAAUUGAAGAUGUGACUGAUGUUCCGGACAUCACUCCGGGGAACUUCUGGUCAAUCUACACCUCUUGUAUUUCCCAGUUUUCCUAUGUAGCUCUGGUGGUUGGUUCAUUCUUGGUACGUUGUGGUGUGUGGUGCGAGUGAGUCCUGUCGGGUGGCUUCGCACUAAGUAUAAUCAACAUCAGCGCAACAAUUUGUUAUGAAUCCCUGGCUAUGGCCCCUGUCACAUCUCACAUCGAUGCUGCCAGUUGGCCAUUAAUGGAUGUUGUGGGCGUAACUAACGCGAAUCCCAACGGACUAGUGACUGCCUGGCAAGGCUACGAUUAGAUGGGUAGCAGAGAGUUUUAAACGGACGGGGUCUGAGGAAGAUUAAAGGCAAUUUCGAUAAGAUUUUGUUACGCUUUAUGUGUGCAACAAAUUAGCUUUAAAGAAUUCCCCUGACAAUGGAAAUCUAAGUUUAAGCAUAUAAACUCUUAGCUAAAUUUAUAGUUAGUAAAUCACUAAAUAUAUUGGGAAACUCUUUGAGCAGUUUGAAAAGACUUGGCUAAUAAUCUAUACCAAAUAAGAGAGCGAAAUCUAGUGGAAAUUUGUUAGACAACACAAUUUUGAUUGCUGAAACACAAGAAGACUUAAUUUAGACAGAUUCCCAUGGGUUUCUUAACAAUCAAUCUUUGGGGAGUCAAAUAUCUCACACUAUGCAAGUAUAUUUACAUUAUUCAAUAUUUUUCCCAAGAGCUCUUGCACACUCUGAACCACACCUAAGGCGAGGGCUAAUCUCUGUAUACGCUGGAUGGAGCGUAGGUCUGUACUGUUGAAAGCAUUAGACGUAAGGACACAUCAUUAAAGGCAGGGAUAGCCAUUUGCAGCAGGGAAGACUGCCAUCCCGGAGGCGACAUCGACAACAGCCCCCCCAGCAACACAGGCCACAGAGCACAGGGAGUGCAUAAUUCAUCAAAAUCAGCAACAGGAACCGAACAAAAGUUGACUUUCAGUUCGAGAGAGGGAGGUUUGAGAUGCUCGCAUGAUUAUCGGGGUUGGAGGAGUACGCAUAUCGAAUGACUUUGGCUUUGACUGUUACCUGGCCAUUGCGAGAAUACGAAUUGUAAUUGCAGUCCAUGCUGCAGCCUUUCUGGUAAGGGGCAUAAUCAAAAAUGCGUGUGCCAAGCCAAAAACGAAGCAUAAUCCCAAAACGCACCAAGGGGCAUCAACAUCAUCAUCAUCAUUGGUAGAGCAAAUUUCGGGGGUGAGCAUUAAGCAUGGUCCAUGGUCCAGGGAAGACCAGAGGCCAACAGCAGACUCAGCCGGCAUUUAUCGUGCUGUACUUGGUAUUGUUGGGUCCAUCUAUCCGCCCGCCCAGCCCCUCUCCAUCGAACUGUCCACCCACCCUCUAUCGUGUCAAAGUUGUGCCCUUUGUUUUCGACUUGUUCCUGGUUGCAUUGGUUGUCCUGUGCGUGGUAUUACGCGCUUCCAACUCCUAUCAUUGUACCCCGUAGUUGUAGGGUCUGAUACUGAUUUUUUAUCGCAAAUCGUAUAUUUGUUUUUGAUUGAAAUAUAAGCAGCAUCUGGGCUCCAACCAUAUCUUUUUAUCUGUACAUAUCAAUCCAUGAUAAACGGGUAUCACAUACUCGGGAGAGACAUCGACUCUUUUCACUCGACUUCUUUUUUUUUGUAUUUCCUCCACUGACGCUCACCUCCUACUUCUUUUUGUUGUUGUUGGUGUUCGGUUUUCGAUUCAACUUUUUCUUUUUUUUUCGACUUCCACUCUGCCGCUCACCCUCUACCUUGGCAUCGCUCUGCUUUUUGUUUGUGUAACAUUCCAUAUCCAUUUGCAACAACGCGCGCAAAAAAAAACCUCGCGAACACACACACACAGAAACAAACACAUAGAAACGUACAAGCGCGAUGCCGACAAACAACCCCGUUGCGCCUGAUGCUGGGGUGGCAGUCCUGCAGCCUCCUCCGAGUCGAACUCGCAUCCGCAGCAUGCUUAAGGUGCAGUAGCGCGUCCACUUUUUCACCGAUGUAUUUACAUUAUACCAUCGUAAAUUAUAGAAACGCUUUUUGUACGUAUUUAUAAAAUGUUAGAAAAUUCCCGAUGCUUCGCGAUGGAAAAAUAAAACGAAAAUUAUUGCACAAGUAAGUUUUGUCGGCCUUGUCGUUCUCUCCUAAAAUAGCAUCGGUGGAAAACGGAUCGUGUAGCAGCUUCUUUAAUAUCCAUCUCCUCGUUCUCUCACAGAAUCGGCAGCAUUUUAAUUCGAAUUGGUAUUGCUCUGGCACUGUUAUUGUUGUUUUGUAGCCGGCUUUACUCCCUCUCAUGCCGCCCCAUCCUCUUCCUCCCCCUGCGACUGUUUGGUUUCCAUUUGAUGCUGAUAAAUUGUAAGCACAGAUGGGUGGGUUGUGGUGUUUCUGGGAAUGGGGUGUUGUUAAGGCCUCGGAACAGCGAGGAGGAAGUUGCAUGCAUCCCAUAAUUUGAUAAAAUAUUGCACGCUCUCCUUUUGUCUGAAAUUAUAUUCGUUCUUUUUCUCUUUUUAGGAGGGACGCAUAUGACGGGCAUUAGAUGUAAUCAAUAAAAGCUCAACGCAAUCCAUUCAGUUCGGCUAAUGGAUGAGAAAUCCUAUCAAAUGUGAAAUCAAAUUUACGGAUGGAACACGCUUCCAUGGGUUUUAGUGGGUUUCAUUUCCUGUUUCGAGGCAUGGUUUCAAUCUAUCAAAGUGAUUAUUUAGAGUGUGAAGUUGGGGGUUUUGAAGUGAAUCUAAAACAAAGGGCAAUAAGAUAAGAGCUAUACACUUUAUACAAUGUACAUUGAAAAACAGUAAUCUGGAUGAGAAUAUCGUAACUUUAGCCAUCUUUAUGAACUGACUGACUGCUGAAUUAGACAAAAUAUAAAAAAAAUAUAAAUAUAAAGCAUGACAAUUCAUUCAGAUUCAGAUAUCAAGUCUGAACUCAAUCUAUAUAUUCCACAACCAGAAUAUCGCACUGCCAAAUGGCAAUCCAAUUAAACCUUCCGACACUUCCUUUGGUUCACUUAUAAUACGAAAUGUUCAAAGUUAAACACGAAAAACUUUAGGUUGAAGCCCCAGUCGAGCAGGAAAUGAACCAUAAAUAUAUCUUCAUUCGUAUGGGUAUACUUAUUUUGAACAGGCGGCAGCUAUUUCCC
rnacentral:lncRNA from 1 species